GAACCGUUACCAGGUCUUGACAUCCCUGACAACCCGAGAGAUCGGGCGUUCCCUUCGGGGGACAGGGUGACAGGUGGUGCAUGGUUGUCGUCAGCUCGUGUCGUGAGAUGUUGGGUUAAGUCCCGCAACGAGCGCAACCCUCGACCUUAGUUGCCAGCAUUCAGUUGGGCACUCUAAGGUGACUGCCGGCUAAAAGUCGGAGGAAGGUGGGGAUGACGUCAAAUCAUCAUGCCCCUUAUGACCUGGGCUACACACGUGCUACAAUGGGCGGUACAAAGGGUCGCGAACCCGCGAGGGGGAGCCAAUCCCAAAAAGCCGCUCUCAGUUCGGAUUGCAGGCUGCAGCUCGCCUGCAUGAAGCCGGAAUCGCUAGUAAUCGCGGAUCAGCAUGCCGCGGUGAAUACGUUCCCGGGCCUU
rnacentral:rRNA from 1 species